rnacentral:rRNA from 1 species
UACGGAGGGUGCGAGCGUUGUCCGGAAUCACUGGGCGUAAAGGGCGCGUAGGCGGUGCGAGAAGCGUGUGGUGAAAGGCCGGGCUCAACCCCGGCUCGGCCGUGCGGACUCUCGCGCUUGGUGAGUGCUGUAGAGGCGGGCGGAAUUCCGGGUGUAGCGGUGGAAUGCGUAGAGAUCCGGAAGAACACCGGUGGCGAAGGCGGCCCGCUGGGCAGUGACUGACGCUGAGGCGCGACAGCGUGGGGAGCAAACGGAUUAGAACCCAG